UCCUUUUCGUUCCAUUCACCCAUGAUUCCAUGAAUUAACCCUAACCUUCCUCAAUUUUCACAUAAUCAUACAUAAUUUUCAAAUAAAUUCCAAUUCCAAUUUGUUCGAUGAAGGCUUUUCGUUAGCCAUUGUUGAAGACAUUACUUCUUUUGGCACAUCUUUAUAAUUCGCCAUAUUCAGUGAAGGCUAAUUAGAGAAGAAUUCAAUAAUGUUGCAGUACCUGAGCCACUGAAAGAAAGCAAGAAUUUAGUUCUUUUCACCAUCGGUGAGUUGUUAGCAGUUAUAUCAUUGCCCUGCAUAUUGGUUUUGGAAGAGCAUGAUGGAGAGUACACAUGGAGGGUGUGGUGUUCAGAAUCUUGGAUUAAAAAUGUUUCUAAUGUAAUCGAAAAGCUCAAUCCAUUUGGUGCUAAGGUUUUCUUUGUUGGUCAGAGCAAUACAUUUCUAAUCAUUGGAUUUUUAGGUAGCAUACAAUUUUAUAAAGUUACAAGCCACGAGUUAGAAGUAUCGAGAAAUGGAGAUGCUCGUUUUGUUUUCAUAGGUGCUUAUGUGGAGACCUUAGCAUUACUUACAUGAAGGGAAGAGAUGAUAUUCAUACCCUUCCCUUAGUUAAUGAGAAUUGAUUCAGAAGAACUCAUGACGAACAAUGAAAGUCUACAUUUUCACUAAUCUGUUAUUUAUUUUGUCUGUUAUUAGAUUAAAAGUAAGAAUGAUUUUAGAAGCAUUUGAUGUAUGAUUAAUAAAUUAAUAUUUUUCAUAGUAUUCGAGAACUCAUAAAAUGAAUUAAAUUACUACAUAUUUUAUUACACACAAUAAUAGGGUUGAAUAUUCAUUU